rnacentral:rRNA from 1 species
GACGAACGCUGGCGGCGUGCUUAACACAUGCAAGUCGAACGGAAAGGCCCUGCUUUUGUGGGGUGCUCGAGUGGCGAACGGGUGAGUAACACGUGAGUAACCUGCCCUUGACUUUGGGAUAACUUCAGGAAACUGGGGCUAAUACCGGAUAGGAGCUCCUGCUGCAUGGUGGGGGUUGGAAAGUUUCGGCGGUUGGGGAUGGACUCGCGGCUUAUCAGCUUGUUGGUGGGGUAGUGGCUUACCAAGGCUUUGACGGGUAGCCGGCCUGAGAGGGUGACCGGCCACAUUGGGACUGAGAUACGGCCCAGACUCCUACGGGAGGCAGCAGUGGGGAAUAUUGCACAAUGGGCGGGAGCCUGAUGCAGCAACGCCGCGUGCGGGAUGACGGCCUUCGGGUUGUAAACCGCUUUCGCCUGUGACGAAGCGUGAGUGACGGUAAUGGGUAAAGAAGCACCGGCUAACUACGUGCCAGCAGCCGCGGUGAUACGUAGGGUGCGAGCGUUGUCCGGAUUUAUUGGGCGUAAAGGGCUCGUAGGUGGUUGAUCGCGUCGGAAGUGUAAUCUUGGGGCUUAACCCUGAGCGUGCUUUCGAUACGGGUUGACUUGAGGAAGGUAGGGGAGAAUGGAAUUCCUGGUGGAGCGGUGGAAUGCGCAGAUAUCAGGAGGAACACCAGUGGCGAAGGCGGUUCUCUGGGCCUUUCCUGACGCUGAGGAGCGAAAGCGUGGGGAGCGAACAGGCUUAGAUACCCUGGUAGUCCACGCUGUAAACGGUGGGUACUAGGUGUGGGGUCCAUUCCACGGGUUCCGUGCCGUAGCUAACGCUUUAAGUACCCCGCCUGGGGAGUACGGCCGCAAGGCUAAAACUCAAAGGAAUUGACGGGGCCCCGCACAAGCGGCGGAGCAUGCGGAUUAAUUCGAUGCAACGCGUAGAACCUUACCUGGGUUUGACAUGGAUCGGGAGCGCUCAGAGAUGGGUGUGCCUCUUUUGGGGUCGGUUCACAGGUGGUGCAUGGCUGUCGUCAGCUCGUGUCGUGAGAUGUUGGGUUAAGUCCCGCAACGAGCGCAACCCUUGUUCACUGUCGCCAGCACGUUAUGGUGGGGACUCAGUGGAGACCGCCGGGGUCAACUCGGAGGAAGGUGGGGAUGACGUCAAGUCAUCAUGCCCCUUAUGUCCAGGGCUUCACGCAUGCUACAAUGGCUGGUACAGAGAGUGGCGAGCCUGUGAGGGUGAGCGAAUCUCGGAAAGCCGGUCUCAGUUCGGAUUGGGGUCUGCAACUCGACCUCAUGAAGUCGGAGUCGCUAGUAAUCGCAGAUCAGCAACGCUGCGGUGAAUACGUUCCCGGG